rnacentral:rRNA from 1 species
GACGAACGCUGGCGGCGUGCCUAACACAUGCAAGGUCAGGGAUUGAAUGAAGGGUAGCAAUACUUUUUAUUCAGUACCGGCGCACGGGUGAGUAACACGUAGGUAAUCUACCCUCAGGCGGGGAACGAACAUCGAGAAAUCGGUGCUAAUACCGCAUGACGCAACGAGACCACAUGAUCUUGUUGUUAAAGAUCCGCAAGGAUCACCCGAGGAUGAACCUGCGCCCGAUUAGCUAGUUGGCGGAGUAAUAGCCCACCAAGGCAACGAUCGGUAGCCGACCUGAGAGGGUGAUCGGCCACA